UACGUAGGGGGCAAGCGUUUCCGGAUUUAUUGGGCGUAAAGAGCGUGUAGGCGGCCUGAAAGGUCAGCUGUGAAAACUCGAGGCUCAACCUCGAGACGUCGGUUGAAACCAUCUGGCUAGAGUCCGGAAGAGGAGUGUGGAAUUCCCGGUGUAGCGGUGAAAUGCGCAGAUAUCGGGAAGAACACCCGUGGCGAAGGCGGCACUCUGGGACGGUACUGACGCUGAGACGCGAAAGCGUGGGGAGCGAACAGG
rnacentral:rRNA from 1 species